CUCGGGGGCGGGGGUGAAGGAGGCCCCGCCCACAUGGGGGCGGGGCUGAAACUGACAGCCGCGGAGGCCCCGCAACGCCUUCCGUGGGAGGAGCCUCGAACGACAGCCCGCGGGCGGAGCCCCAAGUGACAGCCCGGGAACGGAAGUCCCGGGAGCAGUGGGCGGAGCUCGCUCCGCGGAGCCGGAAGAGCCUCCCGCCCGGCAGGGGCGGGGCCGAGGGGCGGGGCGGAGCCUCCCGCCGGGGCGGCCGGGUGCGGCUGGGAUCCCCUGGAGGGCAGGCGUGCGGGGCCUCGCGCUGCCGCCGGGCUUGCUCAGCGCCGUAGUAAGGCUGAUCACAGGGAGCUGCCCUGGCCAGGCGGGAAGGGACCCGAGGCCGACGCCCCCCUUCCUCGGACCACCGUGAGGGACCGGCGUCUGCGCGUCCCGGGAGCUCCGGGACAGGACUCCCCUCCCCGCCCCGCCAUCCGACCGCCGUCCCGAACCGCCUCCCCACAGCGGCGUGGACAAGCCUCGCGCCCUACCCGGGCGGGACGGGGCGCGGCGCACCCCGUCGGCCACCCCGUCGGCCACCUGGGAGGGCUGCCUGCCCGCCCCUUUCGCGGUCACUCCCUGUAACCGGAAGCGGGGCUGCCGCUGACCCGGGGCCGGCCCGGAGUCGGCCCCGCGGGCGUGUCCAGUUUCCGUCCAGAACGCACCCGAACACGUCUUUCGUCGGCGCCUCUGCCUCCUCGCUUCCACUCCUGCCCCUGGCCGUGCUCUUCGAGAAACUGGUGACGUCCAGGGCUUCCCAAGACACCGGAGGAAAACCCAGGCUCUCUGCCAACAAGCCUGACCCCUCGCUACCUCGGCCCUCUUCCUACCCCUCCCUGCCGUCAGGCUGGCUGCCGGUGGCAGAGCUCAGGAGGUGUCCCGGCGGUGAGGACACCAAGCAGGCGACCCCGUGCUAACAAAGGAGUCAUCAAACUGCGCUCAGGCCGCUUAGCCGGCAGCCCUGCACUCACUGAGGCCUCCUGUAGCAGCUGACCCACUUGCCGACCCUGCUGACCAGCGCCUGCUGUCCCCACUGCGCCUGCGCCGCUGUAACUCAGGAGCGCUGCCCCGACAGUUGGUUCGUUUGCUCAAGGUUGCCCCUCGGGGCGGGGCGGGACUCUCCCACGAUGCCUGCAGCCCACUCAGGGGCCUUCCUCCGCCUGAAUGAGACUGUGCACCUGAGGGAUACAUGCAGCUUUCCUGUCCCUCACCGCUCGGGUGGGAGGCAACGAAAUUCGAUGCUCACAGCACUUCCGAGUGGCUCCCGAACAGGCCCAACCCUUCAACGGGGCUAAUGUGGUCGGCCAACCAGCCUCUCUGGUGCCUGGCUUGCCGGCCUCUAGCUGCCUAGCUCUGAGCCCGCUUGUAAGCUGGCCGGCUCCUUCUCACCCUCCCUAUGCCCCUUCCUCAGACACCCCACAGACCCGUCACCACAGCUCUCUCAGCGCACUCUGUCUUCACUCAGGACUGAAGAGCUUCGCCUGCUUCCGGGCUGCCUCUCCCUCUCCCGAGAGCGUAGGCCCAAGGCAACAGGAUCGCAGCGGGCAGAUCGGCUGCUCCUCUGACCUUCACGACUGGAGAGAGACGCACCACACAAGCUCACAUGGGUUCUUCCCCAAAGGAAUGCUUUAUUGACAAUUUCCCCAUUAUCCACUUGAAGGAAAAGAUGAAUCCGUUACUACGGUUGUGUCCUGCUUUCUCACCACACCCCAUCCGUGAUUCUAACCCUGAAGAAAAAACACCAAAUGCUGUUCCUCCCAUGGCGCCAGCACAGACCGCAGUCCACCCAGGGUGUCUGAAGUGACCAGCGGACACUCGGCUUGCCAGAGGACACCACGGUCUCCCGGAGUGGACUCUGCUCUCGGUGCGCUCUCGGCCUGCUGGGAGCCAAUAAGGCACGGAGCUGCCCCUCCAGACACACGCCAUGCGUGGGGCCCUGACCACAAGGCUGCUGGGGUGUGGCAGCUUCAGAAUGGGAAUGAGAUCUUUGUAGCUCCUGAGAAAAGGCGAAAGCAGAGUCCCAACCGACCCGAUGCAGGCAGGGCCCAUCUGCUUCUCACUUGUCCCCAGGGUGCAGCAAACGGGCAUGUUGGAGCCAAGCCGUCUGUGGAGGGUGCUGGCUUCUGCCUCUCCUGCCCACCCCCACCUCCACCCCCCGAGGCCCAGAGCCCUCUGACUGGCAG